GAGCACGUAGGUGGGUUUGUAAGUCAGAUGUGAAAGCCUUCUGUUCAACGGAAGAAUUGCAUCUGAAACUGCGAGUCUUGAGUGUAGGAGGGGAGAAUGAGACUUCUGGUGGAGCGGUGAAAUGCGUAGGUAUCAGAAGGAACGCCGGCGGCGAAAGCGAUUCUCUGGCCUAUUACUGACACUCAGUGUGCGAAAGCUAGGGGAGCAAACGGGAUUAGAUACCCCGGUAGUCCUAGCCGUAAACGAUGGGCACUAAGUAGAGGGG
rnacentral:rRNA from 1 species